GACGAACGCUGGCGGCGUGCUUAACACAUGCAAGUCGAACGAAGAGCGAUGGAAGCUUGCUUCUAUCAAUCUUAGUGGCGAACGGGUGAGUAACGCGUAAUCAACCUGCCCUUCAGAGGGGGACAACAGUCGGAAACGACUGCUAAUACCGCAUACGAUCUAAUCUCGGCAUCGAGGAUAGAUGAAAGGUGGCCUCUACAUGUAAGCUAUCACUGAAGGAGGGGAUUGCGUCUGAUUAGCUAGUUGGAGGGGUAACGGCCCACCAAGGCGAUGAUCAGUAGCCGGUCUGAGAGGAUGGACGGCCACAUUGGGACUGAGACACGGCCCAGACUCCUACGGGAGGCAGCAGCGGGGAAUCUUCCGCAAUGGACGGAAGUCUGACGGAGCAACGCCGCGUGAGUGAUGACGGCCUUCGGGCUGGAAAGCUCUGUUAAUCGGGACGAAAGGCCUUCUUGCGAAUAGUGAGAAGGAUUGACGGUACCGGAAUAGAAAGCCACGGCUAACUACGUG
rnacentral:rRNA from 1 species